AGUGAACGCUGGCGGUAGGCCUAACACAUGCAAGUCGAACGGCAGCACAAUAAGAGCUUGCUCUUACGGGUGGCGAGUGGCGGACGGGUGAGGAAUACAUCGGAAUCUACUUUUUCGUGGGGGAUAACGUAGGGAAACUUACGCUAAUACCGCAUACGACCUACGGGUGAAAGCAGGGGAUCUUCGGACCUUGCGCGAUUGAAUGAGCCGAUGUCGGAUUAGCUAGUUGGCGGGGUAAAGGCCCACCAAGGCGACGAUCCGUAGCUGGUCUGAGAGGAUGAUCAGCCACACUGGGACUGAGACACGGUCCAGACUCCGACGGGAGGCAGCAGUGGGGAAUAUUGGACAAUGGGCGCAAGCCUGAUCCAGCCAUACCGCGUGGGUGAAGAAGGCCUUCGGGUUGUAAAGCCCUUUUGUUGGGAAAGAAAAGCAGCAGGUUAAUACCCCGCUGUUCUGACGGUACCCAAAGAAUAAGCACCGGCUAACUUCGUG
rnacentral:rRNA from 1 species